UUCACUUUAACGCGGAUAAUUCGGAUUCUUUCUUGUCAUCAAUCUUCAGGUGCCACACACGGUUCAUGUCCAUAAAAAGGGAUGUGUUUGGCGUGUACAGUCAGGGACGUGUGGACAGACAUUGACUGUAAUGAUGGACAGAAUAAGAGAUGUGUUUGGACCGUUACACCCAGAGAUGUGUGGACUGACAUUUGCUGUAAUGAUGGUCAUCUGCUCGAGGAUGGGCAAAAGCAUAACCCCUGCUGGACAUCGUGCUGGAGCUUAGGGGGGACCCCGUGAUCUCCUGCGCCUUCUCCCUCAAACCUCACCUUCAUAUCGCUGAGAUCUGGCUGGGAUCGAACCAGCAACCUCUGAACCCAUGAGGCAGCACUCUUAACCUGACAUGGGCCAGUUUAUUAGUAAUGCAGCAGUUUCCUGUGAAGCCCCAAAUCAAGGUAUUGUAUUAAUAUCACUUCUGUGAUAAAUGACAAAAGAAGCCUGAAUCACCUGACCAUUUUUAGCACAUUCUAUUCAUUUUAAAUAAUUGUUUCUACAGUAUAUAAGCAAUGUCUUAAUAUUUUUUUGUUGUUUUGUUGUUAAAUAACGCUUCAUUACAACAAGCUUUGAAACAUUUCAGUGAUUCGCCGCUAGGUGGCGUUGAUCUGGUGAACCACUAACCAGAUUCUAAUAUAUGGUUUUAACUGAUCUCAGGUCAGUUUUAUAAUUUAGCUUCAGUUUUAAAGAUGAACUUGUCACAAAAUAAUGGAAAAAUAGAGAGGAAUAGUUGAUUGAA